CAAUAUGAUAUUUUUUAUAAUUUGAAUUUCAGAAUGUUUCUUCAACGAAGCAAAGAGAAUGAAUAACAAUUAUAGACUUACAAAGGUUUUCAAAUUAUGGAGUUUCAAGUCGUAUAAAUCCAACUGUACAAUUAUGGUGUUCAUUAGAUAUUUAUUUAAAAUAUAGGAUAUUAUACAUUUUCUUUUAUCAAGUUUUGUUUCUUUCCUGAAAAGUACUCAAACAUAUUUUUAACGGGAGACAUCUAUUUCAAAAUAAGAGAAGGAAAAUCAUGAUGGCACGAUACUGGCAUGAUAAUCAUCAAUAUCCAGAUUAAGCAGAAUGUUGAGCCCACUCUGAUAUCCACACGAAGUCAUUUUAUGUGGCUUUAUACUACGAUAGAAAUUGAUAAUUGAUAAUUACGUAGGUUACGGUCGCGUACAUUAAAAUUCCACGACGAGGCACCUUUUUAAUAAGUUCAUUUGUUAUAUGCCUAAAUCUAAAGCUUACGAAUUGAUUUUUAUUCGUACCUGUAUAAACAGUAGGUAAACAGUGACCGCGUACUGAAGUAUGCACUUCUAGAGGUGAACGUGGAUGCUCGUAAAAUUCUGUUGUUCGGAAUUUUAUUUUUUACAACAUAUCAAGAAAUCAUCCGUGUCGAGGAAGUGUACCUUAACAUAAUUUGGUAACAUAAUUACCAAAUUCAUAAUUCGAAUAAUAGUAUAUAAAACAAUGCAUUAACCCUUUCGAUAAUAACGUUGACUAUACUGACCAACAAAUUUUAACUUUUCCUUUAAUCUGUAAUAUCCAACACGUGAUUGUCAUAGAGCUUGAAGAAGGAUUAUUUACUAACGGAAAACUGCAAUGAGUGAAAAUAUCAAUUUCGAUUAAGACAUGGUAUAUUAAAAUACCAAAUUCGCUUAGAACUACCAGUAAUAUUGUUUAAUAAUUAAUUAAUAAAUCGCAUUUGUUAACU